rnacentral:piRNA from 1 species
AGUAAGACUCGGGUGGGAAAGCUG